GAGCAGCAUCACUCUGCAGUGGAAUAAAGUCAACAACAAUGUCAGCUUUGUUCUCCAGUUUAAUGGUACGGAGACAAGCAUCAGUGCACCAGCUGGAAAUGGACCAGUAACUUACACAGUCUCAUCUCUCACUGCUGGAACUCAAUACACAUUCACCCUUUACGCUGUGUUUGAGAACGUCAGAAGCAGUGGAGUCAGCAUUACUGCAGUCACUGCUCCUUCAAAUGCACAAAACCUCAUAUCAUCAGGACAAAA